rnacentral:lncRNA from 1 species
UUUUUUUUAAAAGUUUAAGAUAGAGUCAAGUGUUUUGCCAUUGGUAGUGAUGGCUAAGUCCAAUCGAAUAUUCAUUGUUUGGUGUUGUAAUUUUGUCCUAAUUUGAAUAGCAUUUGAUCAUGUCAUUACUAGGUUUAUUAGUUUAUUAGUUCAGUCCUUCAUAAUGUCGAAUCUCACCGGUCUUGUUAUGCUAUCUUGUAGGCAUUGAAAUCUAUGCGAUAUACUCUUCGAGUUUUGUUAGCCUUUCAAAAGAAAUGUCUAAUAUUCUGCAUCAGCUUUGUAUGCUGCCCAGUGACAUGAUUAUGUGUUUUUUUAUAACCUUGCAUAGGAUGUUCGUUUCUUAUUUUGCUCAAGUCUGAAAAUUGCUUUGUUGUUCCAACCCUGCUAAUUGUUUGAUGUUUUGGGGCUUAAUAAUUAAUUUUCCAAGAUGUGUGUUAAUUAAAAUCAUAAUGGUUCUCCUGUUUUUGUCUAAAAUUUGAGGAUACCUAUCCUAAUUGUUGGUUUGCCACCUGUCUCAAUUACCCAUGUGGUGUCUUUGCUUGGCAACAUAGUUCUCUUUGCACUUUUGUAUUUAUCCAUGUAUAACAUUAUUAGAUUUCAUUAAAUAGAGUUGGUUAGACUCAAUCCCGUGAUAUUUUACUUGCUAAUUAUACGGCAUAUUUCCUCUUAACAUUUGAGUUUAUUUUGGUUAAUAGUUAUGUAUUCCCUAGAAUAUAGCAUGCUCAUAAGUGUAUAUAUAUGUNNNNNNNNNNNNNNNNNNNNNNNNNNNNNNNNNNNNNNNNNNNNUUUUUCCCCUUCAUUGCUCAUUGCCCUCCACGUAUAAAAAAUAAUAAUAACAAAUAAAUAAAAUAAAAUAAAAUAAAAUAAUAUAUAUAUAUAUUAUGUCUUCAUGAAUUUCCCAUUUAUAUUAGAGUUUAAAUAUUGUGCUAUUUACGACUAAUUGAUAUUUGUUGUUCCACUUAUUUAUUCAUUUUUUAUAAGUGCUAAUUCUGCAAUUUGUUUAUCGUUUGCAUGUGAAAUCGGCCCGAGUUCACCAUGAACUCCCAUAUUUUUUCCUUGCAUAUCGAGAGAGCCAUAAAGGCUCAAAUGCCACCUCCAUUGAGUCAGUCAAUCGCUAAAGUCGAUGAACAGGUCCCGAGGUUGGAAGGAGCAACCGAUUGUGAAAAUUUGAAAAGAUUGGGCCAAAGGCCUAACUUCUUUAAGAAAUUGUAUUUUGUUAUUUUGGGCCUAAGCCCCCUUGUCAUUAUUUAUUGUUAUUGUGUUAGUUCUUAGGACAGGUGGAGAAAAAUUGGGCCUAAAGCCCAAAAGAAAAUGUCUUAUAUAUAUUAGACUAGGACAAGUGCAGAUGACUCAAAUGGGCCAAAAGCCCGAAACAAAAAUGGGCCCAAGUAUUGGUCCAGGCGGACAGAAAAACCAAACUUGGGCCCAAACUUCCUUUCCUUAUCUAUACAAUUGUUACUAUAUGUUUUAUUUGUUAAAAUUAAUCUUAAGAUUCUAAAAAUUCAACUCCCCAAAAGAAAGCCGUUUUGAAUUGAAA